rnacentral:rRNA from 1 species
GGGGAAUUUUGCGCAAUGGGCGAAAGCCUGACGCAGCGACGCCGCGUGAACGAUGAAGGCCUUCUGGGUUGUAAAGUUCUGUCAAGUGGAACGAAUGUUGGCGGGAGGAAAUGCCCGCCAAUUGACGGUACCAUUGAAGGAAGCCCCGGCUAACUCCGUGCCAGCAGCCGCGGUAAUACGGAGGGGGCGAGCGUUGUCCGGAAUCACUGGGUGUAAAGGGCGUGUAGGCGGCCUGUAAAGUCCCGCGUGAAAACGAUCGGCUCAACUGAUCGCUUGCGCUGGAAACUGCCAGGCUUGAGUUCGGGAGAGGAGAGCGGAAUUCCAAGUGUAGCGGUGAAAUGCGUAGAUAUUUGGGGGAACACCGGUGGCGAAAGCGGCUCUCUGGACCGAUACUGACGCUGAGGCGCGAAAGUUAGGGAAGCAAAC